rnacentral:rRNA from 1 species
GACGAACCGUGCGAACGUUGUUCGGAAUCACUGGGCUUAAAGGGCGCGUAGGCGGGUCUCAAAGUCCGGGGGGAAAUCCUCCAGCUCAACUGGAGAAGGGCCUUGGAAACUAGAGGUCUCGAGGGAGGUAGGGGUCCGUGGAACUUCGGGUGGAGCGGUGAAAUGCGUUGAUAUCCGAAGGAACGCCGGUGGCGAAAGCGACGGACUGGAUCUCUUCUGACGCUGAGGCGCGAAAGCCAGGGGAGCAAACGGG